rnacentral:rRNA from 1 species
UACGGAGGGUGCGAGCGUUGUCCGGAAUCACUGGGCGUAAAGGGCGCGUAGGCGGCGCGGGAAGUCAUCGGUGAAAGUUCAGGGCUCAACUCUGAAUCGGCCGGUGAUACUCUCGUGCUUGAGCACUGUAGAGGCAGGUGGAAUUCCGGGUGUAGCGGUGGAAUGCGUAGAGAUCCGGAAGAACACCGGUGGCGAAGGCGGCCUGCUGGGCAGUAGCUGACGC